rnacentral:rRNA from 1 species
UCAAGGUGUAUAUCGCCAUUGCUGCGGUUAAAAAGCUCGUAGUUGGAUCUGCGCCUUCGGACUCGGCCCGCCCAACGGGUGUGAACUGGGAUCCAAGGCUUAUACUGCUGGUUUUCCCUUGAUGCUCUUUACUGGGUGUCUUGGGUGGCUAGCGAGUUUACUUUGAAAAAAUUAGAGUGCUUAACACAGGCUAACGCCUGAAUACUUGUGCAUGGAAUAAUAGAAUAAGACCACGGUUCUAUUUUAUUGGUUUUCGGAACUGUGAUAAUGGUUAAGAGGGACAGACGGGGGCAUUCGUAUCGCUGCGUGAGAGGUGAAAUUCUUGGACCGCAGCGAGACGCCCUACUGCGAAAGCAUUUGCCAAGAAUGUCUUCGUUAA